AGUGAACGCUGGCGGUAGGCCUAACACAUGCAAGUCGAACGGCAGCACAGUAAGAGCUUGCUCUUACGGGUGGCGAGUGGCGGACGGGUGAGGAAUACAUCGGAAUCUACUUUUUCGUGGGGGAUAACGUAGGGAAACUUACGCUAAUACCGCAUACGACCUACGGGGGAAAGCAGGGGAUCUUCGGACCUUGCGCGAUUGAAUGAGCCGAUGUCGGAUUAGCUAGUUGGCGGGGUAAAGGCCCACCAAGGCGACGAUCCGUAGCUGGUCUGAGAGGAUGAUCAGCCACACUGGAACUGAGACACGGUCCAGACUCCUACGGGAGGCAGCAGUGGGGAAUAUUGGACAAUGGGCGCAAGCCUGAUCCAGCCAUACCGCGUGGGUGAAGAAGGCCUUCGGGUUGUAAAGCCCUUUUGUUGGGAAAGAAAAGCAGCAGGUUAAUACCCCGCUGUUCUGACGGUACCCUAAGAAUAAGCACCGGCUAACUUCGUG
rnacentral:rRNA from 1 species